AUGCAGUCGAGCGAAUGACGAGGAGCUUGCUCCUCUGAUUUAGCGGCGGACGGGUGAGUAACACGUGGGUAACCUGCCUGUAAGACGGGGAUAACUCCGGGAAACCGGAGCUAAUACCGGAUGAUAACGAGAAGCGCCUGCUUCUUUUUUGAAAGUCGGUUUCGGCUGACGCUUACAGAUGGGCCCGCGGCGCAUUAGCUAGUUGGUGAGGUAACGGCUCACCAAGGCGACGAUGCGUAGCCGACCUGAGAGGGUGAUCGGCCACACUGGGACUGAGACACGGCCCAGACUCCUACGGGAGGCAGCAGUAGGGAAUCUUCGGCAAUGGACGAAAGUCUGACCGAGCAACGCCGCGUGAGCGAUGAAGGCCUUCGGGUCGUAAAGCUCUGUUGUCAGAGAAGAACAAGUACCGGAGUAACUGCCGGUACCUUGACGGUACCUGACCAGAAAGCCACGGCUAACUACGUGCCAGCAGCCGCGGUAAUACGUAGGUGGCAAGCGUUAUCCGGAAUUAUUGGGCGUAAAGCGCGCGCAGGCGGUCUUUUAAGUCUGAUGUGAAAGCCCACGGCUCAACCGUGGAGGGUCAUUGGAAACUGGGAGACUUGAGUGCAGGAGAGAAAAGUGGAAUUCCACGUGUAGCGGUGAAAUGCGUAGAGAUGUGGAGGAACACCAGUGGCGAAGGCGGCUUUUUGGCCUGUAACUGACGCUGA
rnacentral:rRNA from 1 species